UACGGAGGGUGCGAGCGUUGUCCGGAAUCACUGGGCGUAAAGGGCGCGUAGGCGGCGCGGAUAGUCGGCGGUGAAAGCCCGGAGCUCAACUCCGGGUCGGCCGUCGAUACUUCCGGGCUUGAGCACUGUAGAGGCAGAUGGAAUUCCGGGGUGUAGCGGUGGAAUGCGUAGAGAUCCGGAAGAACACCGGUGGCGAAGGCGGUCUGCUGGGCAGUUGCUGACGCUGAUGCGCGACAGC
rnacentral:rRNA from 1 species